rnacentral:misc_RNA from 1 species
GAAAUGCGAUAAGUAGUGUGAAUUGCAGAAUUCAGUGAAUCAUCGAAUCUUUGAACGCACAUUGCGCCCCUUGGUAUUCCAUGGGGCAUGCCUGUUCGAGCGUCAUUUGUACUCUCAAGCCUUGCUUGGUGUUGGGUGUUUGUCUUUGCUAUGCCUAGACUCGCCUUAAAUUCAUUGGCAGCCUGUAUAUUGGUUUGAAGCGCAGCACAAUUUGCGCUUCCGGCUCGUAAUUAUUGGCACCCAUAAGAUUUUUUAUCACUUUUGACCUCGGAUCAGGUAGGGAUACCCGCUGAACUUAA